ensembl:lncRNA
AUGUGCCCCCCAACUGCCCCCCAUUGCCCCACAUCAGCUCGGAUCGCCGCCUGGACCCCCCCCCAAAUGGAUCCACAGCGCAGGAGGAGCCACCCCGGUACCCCACAACCACCCCACAACCACCACAUGGGACCCCCCUAUGGGACCCACAUCUCCCCAUGGGACCCCCAAGUCCCCUUGGACCCCAUUAUGGGACCCACAUCUCCCCAUGGGACCCCCCUAUGGGACCCACAUCUCCCCAUGGGACCCCCAAGUCCCCUUGNUCCCCUUGGACCCCAUUAUGGGACCCACAUCUCCCCAUGGGACCCCCCUAUGGGACCCACAUCUCCCCAUGGGACCCCCAAGUCCCCUUGGAACCCCCUUAUAGGACCCACAUCUCCCCAUGGGACCCCCAAGUCCCCUCGGGACCCCCCUAUGGGACCCACAUCUCCCCAUGGGACCCCCAAGUCCCCUCUAUGGGACCCACAUCACCCCAUGGGACCCCCAAAUCCUAUUGGGACCCCCAAGUCCCCCCUGGAACCCCCAAGUCCCCUUGGGACCCCUUUAUGGGACCCACAUCUCCCCAUGGGACCCCCAAGUCCUAUUGGGACCCCCUUAUGGGACCCACAUCUCCCCAUAGGACCCUCUUAUGGGACCCACAUCUCCCCUUGGGACCCCCAAGUCCUAUUGGGACCCUCUUAUGGGACCCACAUCUCCCCAUGGGACCCCUAAACCCUAUUGGGACCCCCAUAUCAAACCCUCUGGUCCUAUUGGGACCCCAAACCCUAUUGGGACCCUAUUGGGACCCCCCAUGGGACCCCAAACCCUAUUAAGACCCCGGACCCUAUUGGGAUCCCAGACCCUAUUGGGACCCCCAUAUUUAACCCCAAGACCCUAUUAAGACCCCAGACCCUAUUGAGACCCUAAACCCUAUUGGGACCCCAAACCCUAUUGGGACCCCCAUGGGACCCCCAGACCCUAUUAAGACCCCAGACCCUAUUGAGACCCCCAACCCUAUUGGGACCCCAAAUCCUAUUAAAGACCCCAGACCCUAUUAAGACCCCCCCAAACCAUAUUGGGACCCCAAACCCUAUUAAGACCCCAAACCCUAUUGGGACCCCAAUGGGACCCCCUGACCCUAUUAAGACCCCAAACCCUAUUGGGACCCCAGACCCUAUUGGGACCCCAAACCCUAUUGGGACCCCAAAUCCUAUUAAAGACCCCAGACCCUAUUAAGACCCCCCCAAACCUUAUUGGGACCCCAAACCCUAUUGGGACCCCAGACCCUAUUGGGACCCCCAUAUAAAGACCCCCACAGACCCUAUUAAAGACCCCAAACCCUAUUAAGACCCCAAACCCUAUUGGGACCCCAAAUCCUAUUAAAGACCCCAGACCCUAUUAAGACCCCCCCCAAACCUUAUUGGGACCCCAGACCCUAUUGGGAUCCCCAUAUAAAGACCCCCACAGAUCCUAUUAAAGACCCCAGACCCUAUUAAGACCCCAAACCCUAUUGGGGCCCCAAUGGGACCCCCAGACCCUAAUAAGACCCCAACCCUAUUGGGACCCCAAACCCUAUUGGGACCCUUAAACCCUAUUAGGACCCCAAACCCUAUUAAGACCCCCCACAAACCUUAUUGGGACCCCAAUGGGACCCCAAACCCUAUUAAGACCCCAAACCCUAUUGGGACCCCCAUAUUAAGACCCCCCCAGACCCUAUUAAAGACCCCAAACC